rnacentral:rRNA from 1 species
GAUGAACGCUGGCGGCGUGCCUAAUACAUGCAAGUCGAGCGAACAGACGAGGAGCUUGCUCCUCUGACGUUAGCGGCGGACGGGGGAGUAACACGUGGAUAACCUACCUAUAAGACUGGGAUAACUUCGGGAAACCGGAGCUAAUACCGGAUAAUAUAUUGAACCGCAUGGUUCAAUAGUGAAAGACGGUUUUGCUGUCACUUAUAGAUGGAUCCGCGCCGCAUUAGCUAGUUGGUAAGGUAACGGCGUACCAAGGCGACGAGGCGUAGCCGACCUGAGAGGAGGAGAGGCCACACGUGAACGGAGAGACGGUCCAGACUCCGACGGGAGGCACCAGUGGGGAAUAUUGCACAAGGGGCACAGGCAUGAUGCAGCCAUGCCGAGUGGAUGAAGAAGGCCUUCGGGUCGGAAAGGACUGGCAGCGGGGAGGAAGGGAGGAAAGGUAAGACCUGUGCGCAUUGACGGUACCCGCAGAAGAAGCAACGGCUAACGCCGUG